CAAUAGCGUAUAUUUAAGUUGCUGCAGUUAAAAAGCUCGUAGUUGGAUUUCGGGUGGGAAUGGCCGGUCCGCCGUUUCGGUGUGCACUUGCUACGCCCACCUUGCUGCCGGGGACGUGCUCUUGAGUUCACGCUCGGGACACGGAGUCGGCGAGGUUACUUUGAGUAAAUUAGAGUGUUCAAAGCAGGUCUACGCUCUGAAUACAUUAGCAUGGAAUAACACGAUGGGACUCUGGCCUAUCUUGUUGGUCUGUAGGACCGGAGUAAUGAUUAAGAGGGACAGUCGGGGGCAUUCGUAUUUCAUUGUCAGAGGUGAAAUUCUUGGAUUUAUGAAAGACGAACUACUGCGAAAGCAUUUGCCAAGGAUGUUUUCAUUAA
rnacentral:rRNA from 1 species